rnacentral:lncRNA from 1 species
AUUACUUAAACAUUAUACCAAUACAUAUACUCUUUAUUUUUAAUACUAUGUAUCGAAAUAUCAUGCUUUGAAAAUUCAUUUGAUAACAUAAUCAGUAAUUUCCAAAGUAAUGUUUACUAAAAUAAUAUGAUCUCAUUCGUUUAAUUGUAUUACAGAUAUUUUCCAUAGGGCUCGCAUACACUUAGGAGAAAGAGAAGCAGAUAGGUUUUCAGAUACAGAUUCAGAAUGGCCUUAGGUCGCCAACAGAUUCAGAACAUAUAGAGCGCGUCCGCCCUAACAGAACAGAAGACACCCACGUGUCUAGCAUAUGAUCAUAGUUUCUUAUCAGAAUGGCAUCAAAUGUCGAGCAUGCUCAUUAGACAGAAUAAAAAUCAAAUCACGCAUCAAAUUCACACUAAGUAUAUUAGAGCCCGAAAUCCUUAUUUUAAUUCUUACUUCAUAUCACUUAUCAGAAAACUUGUCUUAUUCGUUAGUCUUCCUAAAUUCAUAAUGUAAGCUUACUUUAGAAUCAUACUUAAACAUAAUUACUUAACAUAGACAAUUUCUUAUCAUAUGAAAUCAUGCAUGUAAGCUUACUUUAGAACUUAAGUAACUCAUAUACUUAAACAAAAUUACUUAAUAUAGGAAAUUUAUCAUAAAUCCCUUUUCUUUUAAAACUUUCUUAAAGUCAUAAUGAAAUUUAUCAUAAGAAAUUUCUUAUCAUAUAAAAUCAUAUUUUCUUUAUUCAAAAUUCAAAGCACAUACACCUUAAAUACCCAUUUCUUUGUUAAAACUCUAAACAUAUAAAAGUUAUCAAAUAAUCAUAUUUAUAUCAUAUAUAUAAAAUAAUUAAGUAAGCUUUACUACACCAAGGUGGUACCAAGGGGAGGAAUUUCCUUCUCCAAUCAAGCAUGCUAACACAACUCUUAUGCACAAAAGUAUCAAUUUCAACCCUCAUCAUGCNNN